ensembl:snoRNA
AAGCAAAACUUGGUGGCAGAUGAUCGAAGCUGUCUCAUGCAAUCUAAGCCCUCUAGGCAAAAAAGUCUUACCUAUUCCAGUGCUCUCUCCAUGAGACCAACUGUUACACAGACUUAAACAGU